rnacentral:snoRNA from 1 species
GUCUUGUCAGUGAUGUUUUAAAAACACAAAUGUCUGAACAAAUGACUACCUGUGAUUCCUCCUUUUUCCACUGAGACAAGAC